AUACGUAGGGGGCGAGCGUUGUCCGGAAUUAUUGGGCGUAAAGCGCGCGCAGGCGGUCUUUUAAGUCUGAUGUGAAAUCUUGCGGCUUAACCGUAAGCGGUCAUUGGAAACUGGGAGACUUGAGUACAGAAGAGGAGAGUGGAAUUCCACGUGUAGCGGUGAAAUGCGUAGAGAUGUGGAGGAACACCAGUGGCGAAGGCGACUCUCUGGUCUGUGACUGACGCUGAGGCGCGAAAGCGUGGGGAGCAAACAGGAUUAGAUACCCUGGUAGUCCACGCCGUAAACGAUGAGUGCUAGGUGUUAGGGGUUUCGAUACCCUUAGUGCCGAAGUCAACACAUUAAGCACUCCGCCUGGGGAGUACGGCCGCAAGGCUGAA
rnacentral:rRNA from 1 species